rnacentral:lncRNA from 1 species
ACUUUCAAGAGUUAAGUCGAGAUCUGGAUGAAAAAUCCUAAUAACUGGUAAAGAAGGGAAGCCGCAGACAAAAAUAUUGAAUGUUGUCUACAAACAAGUUUUUCAGAAUAUUUCGUAGUCACGGUACGUAAUUUUAAUCUACUUUUUUUUCAAAUACAAAUUUUAAAAUAAAUAAACUGUUGCAAUUAUUUAUUUUUUAUAUUUGCUAGAUGGGUUGUGAUGAGUUAGGAGACCGAUGACGGUAUGUCAAUUUAAU